UACGGAGGGGACUAGCGUUGCUCGGAAUCACUGGGCGUAAAGCGCACGUAGGCGGACUCUUAAGUCAGGGGUGAAAUCCUGGAGCUCAACUCCAGAACUGCCUUUGAUACUGGGAGUCUUGAGUUCGGGAGAGGUGAGUGGAACUGCGAGUGUAGAGGUGAAAUUCGUAGAUAUUCGCAAGAACACCGGUGGCGAAGGCGGCUCACUGGCCCGAUACUGACGCUGAGGCACGAAAGCGUGGGGAGCAAACAGG
rnacentral:rRNA from 1 species